rnacentral:rRNA from 1 species
ACGCAGUUAAACGAUGAAUACUCGCUGUCCGGGGAGAUGGGUAUCGGGGCGGCCAAGCGAAAGCGCUAAGUAUUCCACCUGGGGAGUACGCCGGCAACGGUGAAACUCAAAGGAAUUGACGGGGGCCCGCACAAGCGGAGGAACAUGUGGUUUAAUUCGAUGAUACGCGAGGAACCUUACCCCGGCUCAAACGACGGAUGAAUACUUUUGAAAGGAGGUAGUCCUUCGGGACAUCCGUCGAGGUGCUGCAUGGUUGUCGUCAGCUCGUGCCGUGAGGUGUCGGCUUAAGUUCCAUAACGAGCGCAACCCCCCUCGCCAGUUGCCAACAGGUAAAGAUGGGAAAUCUGGCGAGACUGCCGGCGCAAGCUGUGAGGAAGGCGGGGAUGACGUCAAAUCAGCACGGCCCUUACGUCCGGGGCGACACACGUGUUUCAAUGGCAGGUACAAAGAGAUGCGACACGGCGACGUGGAGCGGAACUGUCAAAACCUGUCUCAGUUCGGAUCGGAGUCUGCAACCCGACUCCGUGAAGCUGGAUUCGCUAGUAAUCGCGCAUCAGCCAUGGCGCGGUGAAUACGUUCCCGGACCUUGCACACACCGCCCGUCAAG